rnacentral:rRNA from 1 species
AUGUGGCGGCUGAAGAUCGCGGAGGGCGGGGCCGACCCGUGGCUGCGCACCAAGAACGCGCACGUCGGCCGCCAGGUCUGGGAGUUCGACGCCGCCGCCGACGACCCCGACGCCCUCGCCGCCGUCGACGCCGCGCGCCGGGAGUUCGCCGCCCGCCGCCACCAGCUCAAGCACAGCGCCGACCUCCCCAUGCGCAUCCAGCUUGCAAAAGAAAAUCCACUUAAGUUGGAUCUUCCUGCUAUCAAGCUGGGGGAGAAUGAAGAUGUCACAGAGGAAGCCGUGUCGACCACUUUGAAAAGGGCGCUCAGCACCUUUUCUACUCUCCAGGCACACGAUGGACACUGGCCUGGGGAUUAUGGGGGUCCUAUGUUCCUUAUGCCUGGAUUGCUUAUAAUGCUACAUGUUACUGGAGCAAUGAACACUGUUUUAUCACCAGAACAUCAAAAGGAGAUCCGUCGAUAUCUCUAUAAUCAUCAGAAUGAAGAUGGAGGUUGGGGAUUACACAUUGAGGGUCCAAGCACCAUGUUUGGCUCAGCCUUGACCUAUGUUUCUUUGAGAUUGCUUGGUGAGGGACCAGAUAGUGGAGAUGGAGCUAUGGAGAAAGGUCGAAACUGGAUUUUAGACCAUGGGGGAGCAACUUAUAUAACAUCAUGGGGAAAGUUUUGGCUCGCGGUACUUGGUGUAUUUGAUUGGUCUGGUAACAAUCCACUGCCACCGGAAAUAUGGAUGUUGCCGUAUUGCCUGCCAGUCCACCCAGGUCGAAUGUGGUGUCACUGCCGAAUGGUGUAUCUACCCAUGUGCUACGUUUAUGGAAAGAGGUUUGUCGGCCGAAUUACACCAAUUAUAUUGGAACUAAGAAAUGAACUAUUCAAAGUCCCCUACAGCGAGGUUGAUUGGGACAGUGCUCGCAAUCUCUGUGCUAAGGAAGAUCUGUACUACCCACAUCCACUCAUACAAGAUAUCUUAUGGGCCACUCUCCAUAAAUUUGUCGAACCUGUUAUGAUGCACUGGCCUGGGAACAAACUGAGAGAGAAAUCUUUGAACCAUGUCAUGCAGCAUGUUCAUUAUGAAGAUGAGAACACUCGAUACAUUUGCAUUGGUCCUGUGAACAAGGUAUUAAAUAUGCUUGCUUGCUGGAUUGAAGAUCCAAACUCAGAAGCAUUCAAGCUACACAUUCCAAGAAUAUAUGAUUACUUAUGGGUUGCUGAAGAUGGCAUGAAGAUGCAGGGUUAUAAUGGCAGCCAGCUCUGGGAUACAGCUUUUGCAGUUCAAGCUAUUGCAGCCACUGACCUCAUUGAAGAGUUUGCUCCCACUCUUAAGCUGGCACAUGAUUACAUUAAGAACUCUCAGGUUGUUGAUGACUGCCCUGGAGAUCUGAGUUACUGGUACCGUCACAUAUCUAAAGGUGCAUGGCCCUUUUCUACAGCUGAUCAUGGUUGGCCUAUAUCAGAUUGCACUGCAGAAGGACUAAAGGCCUCAUUAUUGCUAUCAAAGAUUUCUCCAGAAAUUGUGGGCGAACCAGUGGAAGUUAACAGACUAUAUGAUGCUGUCAAUUGUUUGAUGUCUUGGAUGAAUGAAAAUGGCGGCUUCGCAACAUAUGAACUCCAAAGGUCUUAUGCCUGGCUUGAGCUUAUCAACCCUGCCGAGACCUUCGGAGAUAUUGUGAUUGAUUACCCGUAUGUGGAAUGUACAUCAGCCGCAAUUCAGGCCCUGACAUCAUUUAAAAAGCUCUAUCCUGGGCACCGCAGGAAAGAUGUAGAUAACUGUAUCAACAAAGCUGCUAAUUACAUUGAGAACAUCCAAAGAAGUGAUGGGUCAUGGUAUGGCUCUUGGGCUGUGUGCUUCACCUAUGGCACAUGGUUCGGCGUGAAGGGCCUAGUAGCUGCAGGUCGAACAUAUAAGACCAGUCCUGCAAUCAGAAAGGCAUGUGACUUUCUGUUGUCAAAAGAGCUUCCUUUCGGUGGCUGGGGAGAAAGCUAUCUGUCAUCUCAGGAUCAGGUUUACACCAAUCUUGAAGGGAAGCAUACUCAUGCUGUCAACACUGGCUGGGCCAUGCUGACUCUAAUUGAUGCAGGACAGGCUGAGAGAGAUCCAACGCCUCUGCAUCGAGCAGCGAAGGUUUUGGUAAACUUACAAUCAGAGGAUGGGGAAUUUCCUCAGCAAGAGAUCAUGGGAGUCUUCAACAAGAACUGUAUGAUCAGUUACUCCCAGUACAGGAACAUCUUCCCCAUUUGGGCGCUAGGCGAGUACCGGUGCCGAGUGCUGGGCGCGGGCAAGAAGUAG